rnacentral:rRNA from 1 species
AAUCAACGCUGGCGGCGUGCCUAACACAUGCAAGUCGAACGCGAAAGGGGCUUCGGCCCUGAGUAGAGUGGCGAACGGGUGAGUAACACGUGGGUGAUCUACCUUCGAGUGGGGGAUAACGUCCCGAAAGGGACGCUAAUACCGCAUGACGUUCCGGGUUUAAAGACCUGGAAACCAAAGCCGGGGACCGCAAGGCCUGGCGCUUGGAGAGGAGCCCGCGUCCGAUUAGCUAGUUGGCGGGGUAACGGCCCACCAAGGCGACGAUCGGUAGCCGGCCUGAGAGGGCGGACGGCCACACUGGGACUGAGACAC